UUAUCUGCCUUUUUAUUCUUUAGAUCCUCCCGCCCUCCUAUAGCAUUAAUUAUUUUUGACAGAGUAAUUAACCACCAGAUGUCAAUAACUGCGAAAAACUAAUCAAUAUAAACCCACGUCAAGGCGAACGAUCUGUUUUCGGUUAAGGAGUUCAGUCGCUUAAGGAAAAGGUUAUACAAUUGAUUAGCGUCCGUUGUAUUCCGCCAUGAAUGGGCUAUCAAAAUCCUUGGGUUUCCUGUGCCUUGUGACUUCAGUUUUAUUGCUGACUUUUUGUCAGAAUGGUGAAGCUGUCGUGCCCCAUCAACCAGGAUGCCCUAAAGGAUGGGGAAAAUGUUCGGGAUAUAAACACAUUUUCCUGAACCGAGAAAAGAAGGUGGUUCAAGACGAUAAAAGACGCAUUUGUGAGGCCGCGCGUACUUUACACUGUGAUAAGAAGUGAAGAGCUACAGUGAAGAUAGCUGGAAGAUGAUAGACGUCAUUAAGGAAUACCUGUUUAAUUGGAAGUUUUGUUAAAUUAAAAAUAACUUAAUGACUUACAAUAAAGGCUUCGUGACUUACAAUAAAGGCUUAGUUUAAACAGC